AGGCUCUCAGGUAGAAACGCCCUUCUUCUCCGUCCUAUCCUGCUACUUACAUUCAAGUUUGGUAUCCAGGCUCUGAAGAAGAAAUGGUAAGGAAAGGAAGCGCACAUUGUUAGUGCCUAUUGUUUCUUCACCAUACACACAUAUCAGCUUACUACUGGAGUCAUGUCAAAUGCGCUAUAGUUGUUGUUGCCAUCCCUUCUUACUCAUGCAUUUUGUGUUGGACAUGUACCAGUAACUCACUCUCCUGUUAGCCAUACAACAUUGGGUGUUGCAUCUUCUGUUUGUGGUUUUAGCACUCUGUUUUUCAUCUAGCUGAUGAAUUGUGCAGGUUUUAAGCACUUGCUAUUGCUACCAUUAUGCUUCAUUGUUUUAUCUACUACAGUAGACUAGACUAGACUUCUGUGCAAGCGCUUCUUCAAUUGUUUCUUUAUGUAAUAUAUGCUCGAGUGUAAGGUGCAUGCCAUUAAAGAUGGUUCACUGUUGUUGCAGGGCACUCCUUACUUUUGAUUUCAGUUGCUAAGCAGCUUUUUAGUCAUAUAUUGGAGGUCAUAAAGGAUGCUCCCAGCUUUCAGCUAGAGUACCGCUAUGUGAUAUGAGGUUAUGUUAGAUCACCUUUUGAUGUUUUUAGUGUCCAAGCUUCCAUUCAUUUGGAAACUUACAUAGAACAACCAAGGAUUUUUAUUAUGCAGCUGCAGGGCUACCGACUAAAAAUUGAAUCCAGAUUUUCAUUUAUUCCUGUUUGCACGUGUUGACUUUAGGAUAUCUCAUGAACGAGUGAUAGUAGGUAAAAUUAACUUACUUUACUCUCUGCAUUGGUGUGUUCCAGAUACCAGCACUGUCUAAAGAUGUUGCUGCUAAUAUCUUUGAAUGCAACACAUUUUGUCCUGUACUCAGUGUAACCAUCCAUCCUAAUUGAUAUGUUAAGGC
rnacentral:lncRNA from 1 species